rnacentral:rRNA from 1 species
AUUGAACGCUGGCGGCAGGCCUAACACAUGCAAGUCGAGCGGAUGAAGGGAGCUUGCUCCUGGAUUCAGCGGCGGACGGGUGAGUAAUGCCUAGGAAUCUGCCUGUUUGUGUGGGAUAACGUCCGGAAACGGGCGCUAAUACCGCAUACGUCCUGAGGGAGAAAGGGGGGGAUCUUCGGACCUCACGCUAUCAGAUGAGCCUAGGUCGGAUUAGCUAGUUGGUGGGGUAAAGGCCUACCAAGGCGACGAUCCGUAACUGGUCUGAGAGGAUGAUCAGUCACACUGGAACUGAGACACGGUCCAGACUCCUACGGGAGGCAGCAGUGGGGAAUAUUGGACAAUGGGCGAAAGCCUGAUCCAGCCAUGCCGCGUGUGUGAAGAAGGUCUUCGGAUUGUAAAGCACUUUAGGUUGGGAGGAAGGGCAGUAAGUUAAUACCUUGCUGUUUUGACGUUACCAAAAGAAUAAGCACCGGCUAACUUCGUG